rnacentral:rRNA from 1 species
AGUGAACGCUGGCGGUAGGCCUAACACAUGCAAGUCGAACGGCAGCACAGGAGAGCUUGCUCUCUAGGUGGCGAGUGGCGGACGGGUGAGGAAUACAUCGGAAUCUGCCCAGUCGUGGGGGAUAACGUAGGGAAACUUACGCUAAUACCGCAUACGACCUUCGGGUGAAAGAGGGGGAUCGCAAGACCUCUCGCGAUUGGAUGAGCCGAUGUCGGAUUAGCUAGUUAGCGGGGUAAUGGCCCACCAAGGCGACGAUCCGUAGCUGGUCUGAGAGGAUGAUCAGCCACACUGGAACUGAGACACGGUCCAGACUCCUACGGGAGGCAGCAGUGGGGAAUAUUGGACAAUGGGCGCAAGCCUGAUCCAGCCAUACCGCGUGGGUGAAGAAGGCCUUCGGGUUGUAAAGCCCUUUUGUUGGGAAAGAAAUCGUUCAGGCUAAUACCCUGGGAGGAUGACGGUACCCAAAGAAUAAGCACCGGCUAACUUCGUG